GAAGGUUGAAGGAUGGAUCCACCGCCCUACCAAGGAGGCCCAGGCAUCGCACCUGCUGGUACAGCACAAUAUGGCGGCGCACAAUACGUACCGCAACAAGGGUACCCAGGCUAUGAGCCGCAGCCUGGCUUAAACGGUGCAGGAUAUGCGCCGCAGCCUGGCUCAAACGGUGCAGGAUAUGGGCCGCAGCCUGUCUCAGCGUACCCAGGGGCAGACGGUGCAGGAUACGCGCCUACAACAGUUAUCAUACAACCGGUACAGUUUGGGAGGUUUCCAGUAGCUAUGGUCUGUCCUCACUGCCAGCAACAAAUCCAGACAAGAUUAACAUACGAGAUUGGACUUCUGACAUGGAUUAUAGGCUGUUUCUUCUGUUUCCUGGCGUUCUGCAUUGACGCUUGUAAAGACGUGUCACAUUCCUGUCCCGCUUGUAACGCAUUCCUCGGACGCAAAGCAGCUCUAUAAUAUAAUCAAAUAGAAAACUGUGUUCAGUUUACUGUUUCCAGUUUGACAGAUCAGACUUUGACUGAGGCCAACAUCGGAGACUUUUAUAUCCAGAAUCCUCGAUAUCACCUCAGAUCUCCUUAAUGAAGAAUUAAAAUCAACAGCUCCGUUUUUUACACUCAGUUUUUAAUAUAAAAAUUAGACUUGCAUGUUUUAAAAAUUGUUUUAAUACUGGAUAUUUAUUGAUUGUUGAUAAAUAAUGAUUAUCAAUCUACAUAUUA